CAGAGUGGUUCGAAAAGUCUCUUCUUCUCCUCGUCGCAUCCGAUUUUCGGACUUUAAGCACCGAUUCCAACCGCUGUCACUGGACCAUCGAAAUCCUCAGACUGGCACGGGGAGAAUGAGGGAAAGAGGAGCUACCCCAUAAUGUUUUUCGAAAAUUGUCGCCAACAUGCGACGACCACGCACGCUCCACACAUGACGUACGACAGAUUUGUGCCUCGCUUAACGAAAACACUUGUGCCAGUCUUGCUGAGAUGACCACGGCUGGAAGAUAAUCCUGGAAAACUUUAUUCCGAUGGUAAUCCUAAUGAUUAUGCAUAAUUAAUCAGAUAAUAUGCAAAUUUCUCUGUAAUCAAACUCGAGAUUACUACGUUCGUUGUUUCCGUCGUGAGUAGGUAGGAAACGGAGGAAAUGAAAACGGAAUAUGACUAUUAAUUGUGUGCAACGUUGUGCACUUGAAAAACAUAUAUCAUUGUACGCGCUUCGAGCAAUACAUGAUU